AGAGUUUGAUCAUGGCUCAGGACGAACGCUGGCGGCGUGCUUAACACAUGCAAGUCGAACGGAGCAUAGCGAAUGAAGUUUUCGGAUGGAAUUUGCGAAAGCUUAGUGGCGGACGGGUGAGUAACGCGUGAGGAACCUGCCUUUCAGAGGGGGACAACAGUUGGAAACGACUGCUAAUACCGCAUAAAACGCCGGAAUGGCAUCAUAACGGCGUCAAAGGAGCAAUCCGCUGAGAGAUGGCCUCGCG
rnacentral:rRNA from 1 species